rnacentral:miRNA from 1 species
GAAAAAAUCAGGAAGUUGCUCUUCUUGUAUCGCUGUAAUUCACUUGUACAGCAAUACAAGAAGAGCAAUUUCUUGAUUUUUUUCUUUGCUA